UUGAGAUCCAUGUAAAAGCAGAUCCAAUCUGCUGGAAGACAUGGAUUGUUUUCUAAAUGAUCCAUUGGCCCUCAAGUUCGAGAGAAGUUUACUUUGGAGGACAUGCGGUGUUUUUCUUGGAUUUCGAAUUUGUUCAAAGAUUACCAUGCUGGCUAAAAGAAAUAUAAGAUUAUUCUAUAGUCUAAUUUUCAUGAUUGCAAUUGUUUGAUCUUCCAAUGUUUCUCUUCAUAUUUUCCAGUUGAAGGAAUAUGCAUUUAUGGAUGGGCAUUGUUUUAUAAAGAUCCUUUCCACUGACUGAAGAAGAGUAUCUACUGAGGCUUGAUGAUGUUGCAAACACAUUGAAAUGUUGGGGAGCUGUCUCACAUAUUCGGAAUAGGCUUGCCAAAUUGAAGGAGCGGCCUCAGAUAGGAAAGAUAUUUUCUUCCAUUUAAAGUAAACUAGUCUGGUCCAUAUGGUGAAGAGUCAAAUUCAUUGAUACUUUGGACAAGGAUGGCGAAUGAUGAUCCAUAUGCACGACAUGUGGCAUACAUGUAUUGAUCGAAACUCAAAUUAUGGGGCCAUCUUUAGAUGGGGUAGGGCCUUAAAUUCAGAUUGUUUGGGAAAUUGUAAGUUUUAACCUCUUACUAAUGGAAAUUUAUUCUUUGAA